rnacentral:rRNA from 1 species
UACACAUGCAAGUCGAACGGCAGCAUGAUCUAGCUUGCUAGAUUGAUGGCGAGUGGCGAACGGGUGAGUAAUACAUCGGAACGUGCCCUGUAGUGGGGGAUAACUAGUCGAAAGAUUAGCUAAUACCGCAUACGACCUGAGGGUGAAAGUGGGGGACCGCAAGGCCUCAUGCUAUAGGAGCGGCCGAUGUCUGAUUAGCUAGUUGGUGAGGUAAAGGCUCACCAAGGCGACGAUCAGUAGCUGGUCUGAGAGGACGAUCAGCCACACUGGGACUGAGACACGGCCCAGACUCCUACGGGAGGCAGCAGUGGGGAAUUUUGGACAAUGGGGGCAACCCUGAUCCAGCAAUGCCGCGUGUGUGAAGAAGGCCUUCGGGUUGUAAAGCACUUUUGUCCGGAAAGAAAUCGCACUUACUAAUAUUAGGUGUGGAUGACGGUACCGGAAGAAUAAGGACCGGCUAACUACGUGCCAGCAGCCGCGGUAAUACGUAGGGUCCAAGCGUUAAUCGGAAUUACUGGGCGUAAAGCGUGCGCAGGCGGUUGUGCAAGACCGAUGUGAAAUCCCCGGGCUUAACCUGGGAAUUGCAUUGGUGACUGCACGGCUAGAGUGUGUCAGAGGGGGGUAGAAUUCCACGUGUAGCAGUGAAAUGCGUAGAGAUGUGGAGGAAUACCGAUGGCGAAGCAGCCCCCUGGGAUAACACUGACGCUCAUGCACGAANNNNNGGGAGCAAACAGGAUNAGAUACCCUGGUAGUCCACGCCCUAAACGAUGUCAACUAGUUGUUGGGGAUUCAUUUCUUAGUAACGUAGCUAACGCGUGAAGUUGACCGCCUGGGGAGUACGGUCGCAAGAUUAAAACUCAAAGGAAUUGACGGGGACCCGCACAAGCGGUGGAUGAUGUGGAUUAAUUCGAUGCAACGCGAAAAACCUUACCUACCCUUGACAUGCCACUAACGAAGCAGAGAUGCAUUAGGUGCUCGAAAGAGAAAGUGGACACAGGUGCUGCAUGGCUGUCGUCAGCUCGUGUCGUGAGAUGUUGGGUUAAGUCCCGCAACGAGCGCAACCCUUGUCUCUAGUUGCUACGAAAGGGCACUCUAGAGAGACUGCCGGUGACAAACCGGAGGAAGGUGGGGAUGACGUCAAGUCCUCAUGGCCCUUAUGGGUAGGGCUUCACACGUCAUACAAUGGUGCAUACAGAGGGUUGCCAAGCCGCGAGGUGGAGCUAAUCCCAGAAAAUGCAUCGUAGUCCGGAUCGUAGUCUGCAACUCGACUACGUGAAGCUGGAAUCGCUAGUAAUCGCGGAUCAGCAUGCCGCGGUGAAUACGUUCCCGGGUCUUGUACACACCGCCCGUCACACCAUGGGAGUGGGUUUUGCCAGAAGUAGUUAGCCUAACCGCAAGGGGGGCGAUUACCACGGCAGGGUUCAUGACUGGGGUGAAGUCG